rnacentral:rRNA from 1 species
UACAGAGGCCACAAGCGUUAGUCGGAAUCACUGGGCUUAAAGGGUGCGUAGGCGGGUCUGCAAGCGUCUUGUGAAAUACCUCAGCUCAACUGAGGAACAGCAGGGCGAACUGCGGAUCUUGAGGCAUGUAGGGGCUGCGAGAACAGUAGGUGGAGCGGUGAAAUGCGUAGAUAUCUACUGGAAUGCCGAUGGUGAAGACGCGCAGCUGGGCAUGUCCUGACGCUGAAGCACGAAAGCGUGGGGAGCAAACAGG